GCCGGCGACGGUGGUGUUGUCGAAGGUGGCCGGCCGGCCGGUGGAGUAGGUCCUGGCGGUCAUGUAGUAGUUGGCGGCCGGGUAGAACGGCUUCGCGGCGAGGAGCACGUUGGUGGUCUGGCCCGGGGCGAUCACCAGGGUGUCGACGGUGAAGGGCUUGACGUAGACGGCGUCGACCUCAACGACGGUGAGCGAGUGGUUGGCGAUGGAGAAAAAGAGCUCGUCGUUG
rnacentral:lncRNA from 1 species